rnacentral:rRNA from 1 species
GGGCCCGCACAAGCGGUGGAGCAUGUGGUUUAAUUCGAUGAUACGCGAGGAACCUUACCAGGGCUUAAAUGUAAGUUGCAUUAGUUAGAGAUAGCUAUUUCUUCGGACCACUUACAAGGUGCUGCAUGGUUGUCGUCAGCUCGUGCCGUGAGGUGUCAGGUUAAGUCCUAUAACGAGCGCAACCCCUGUUGUUAGUUGCCAGCGAGUCAUGUCGGGAACUCUAACAAGACUGCCGGUGCAAACCGUGAGGAAGGUGGGGAUGACGUCAAAUCAUCACGGCCCUUACGUCCUGGGCUACACACGUGCUACAAUGGUCGGUACAGAGAGCAGCCACUACGCGAGUAGGAGCGAAUCUUCAAAGCCGAUCACAGUUCGGAUCGGAGUCUGCAACUCGACAACAUGAAGUCGGAAUCGCUAGUAAUCGCGUAU